rnacentral:rRNA from 1 species
UUGAACGCUGGCGGCAGGCCUAACACAUGCAAGUCGAACGGUAACAGGAAGCAGCUUGCUGCUUUGCUGACGAGUGGCGGACGGGUGAGUAAUGUCUGGGAAACUGCCCGAUGGAGGGGGAUAACUACUGGAAACGGUAGCUAAUACCGCAUAACGUCGCAAGACCAAAGAGGGGGACCUUAGGGCCUCUUGCCAUCGGAUGUGCCCAGAUGGGAUUAGCUAGUAGGUGGGGUAACGGCUCACCUAGGCGACGAUCCCUAGCUGGUCUGAGAGGAUGACCGGCCACACUGGAACUGAGACACGGUCCAGACUCCUACGGGAGGCAGCAGUGGGGAAUAUUGCACAAUGGGCGCAAGCCUGAUGCAGCCAUGCCGCGUGUAUGAAGAAGGCCUUCGGGUUGUAAAGUACUUUCAGCGGGGAGGAAGGGAGUAAAGUUAAUACCUUUGCUCAUUGACGUUACCCGCAGAAGAAGCACCGGCUAACUCCGUG